GAUGAACGCUGGCGGCGUGCCUAAUACAUGCAAGUCGAGCGAACGGACGAGAAGCUUGCUUCUCUGAUGUUAGCGGCGGACGGGUGAGUAACACGUGGAUAACCUACCUAUAAGACUGGGAUAACCUCGGGAAACCGGAGCUAAUACCGGAUGAUAUUUUGAACCGCAUGGUUCAAAAGUGAAAGACGGUCUUGCUGUCACUUAUAGAUGGAUCCGCGCUGCAUUAGCUAGUUGGUAAGGUAACGGCUUACCAAGGCAACGAUGCAUAGCCGACCUGAGAGGGUGAUCGGCCACACUGGAACUGAGAUACGGUCCAGACUCCUACGGGAGGCAGCAGUAGGGAAUCUUCCGCAAUGGGCGAAAGCCUGACGGAGCAACGCCGCGUGAGUGAUGAAGGUCUUCGGAUCGUAAAACUCUGUUAUUAGGGAAGAACAUAUGUGUAAGUAACUGUGCACAUCUUGACGGUACCUAAUCAGAAAGCCACGGCUAACUACGUG
rnacentral:rRNA from 1 species